rnacentral:rRNA from 1 species
UACAGAGGUGGCAAGCGUUGUUCGGAAUUACUGGGCGUAAAGGGCGCGUAGGCGGCCCGUCAAGUCCCGUGUGAAAGCCCCCGGCUCAACCGGGGAACUGCACGGGAAACUAGCAGGCUUGAGUUCGGGAGAGGGAAGCGGAAUUUCGGGUGUAGCGGUGAAAUGCGCAGAUAUCGAGAAGAACACCGGUGGCGAAGGCGGCCACCUGGACGGUGACUGACGCUGAGACGCGAAAGCUAGGGGAGCAAACAGG